rnacentral:rRNA from 1 species
UUUUACAAUGGAGAGUUUGAUCCUGGCUCAGGAUGAACGCUAGCUACAGGCUUAACACAUGCAAGUCGAGGGGAAACGACAUCGAAAGCUUGCUUUUGAUGGGCGUCGACCGGCGCACGGGUGAGUAACGCGUAUCCAACCUGCCCACCACUUGGGGAUAACCUUGCGAAAGUAAGACUAAUACCCAAUGACGUCUCUAGAAGACAUCUGAAAGAGAUUAAAGAUUUAUCGGUGAUGGAUGGGGAUGCGUCUGAUUAGCUUGUUGGCGGGGUAACGGGCCACCAAGGCAACGAUCAGUAGGGGGUCUGAGAGGAAGGUCCCCCACAUU